CCAGGUAUGUCACUUUGAGGCAGGCAGACAGGCUGAAAUGAGGAAGAAGUUCUCAAUUCAGACUGUUCAAGCAUCUGGCAUUCACUGAAGACUGGUAUUUUUCACAUGCAAAUAUACAGAGACAGGUGGCAAAGGGAGACACAAAUGACUGGAGACAUCAUAAAAUGUCCUUUGUUAGAAAUGAUGGGUUAAACUUUGAAGGAACGACUCUAAGAGGUGGAGGUAAGGAGUGAGGGCAUUCUAGGCAUGGAGGGAAAAACUGUGAAAAACUGCAGAGAACAAAGAUGACUUGCCAUGUAUAUGAGAAAUAGCAAGAUGGCUAGCUUGGCUGAACUGUAACAUGGGUGAAGGAUAAUAUAUAAUAACCCUAGAAAGAUAAAUUUGGAGCCAAAUUAUAAAAGUUAAAUUCCAAGCAAAGGAGUCUGUAUUUUAUACCAGAGGCAAUAGAGAGACCCUGGAGCUUUUUAAAGCAGUGAACAUAGUCAGGACUACUGUAGGAAUAUUACUUUGGUAGCUG
rnacentral:lncRNA from 1 species